rnacentral:rRNA from 1 species
GGCGGCAUGCCUUACACAUGCAAGUCGAACGGCAGCACGGGAGCAAUCCUGGUGGCGAGUGGCGAACGGGUGAGUAAUAUAUCGGAACGUGCCCAGUAGUGGGGGAUAGCCCGGCGAAAGCCGGAUUAAUACCGCAUACGACCUACGGGUGAAAGCGGGGGAUCGCAAGACCUCGCGCUAUUGGAGCGGCCGAUAGCAGAUUAGCUAGUUGGUGGGGUAAAAGCCUACCAAGGCGACGAUCUGUAGCUGGCCUGAGAGGACGACCAGCCACACUGGGACUGAGACACGGCCCAGACUCCUACGGGAGGCAGCAGUGGGGAAUUUUGGACAAUGGGCGCAAGCCUGAUCCAGCCAUGCCGCGUGUGGGAAGAAGGCCUUCGGGUUGUAAACCACUUUUGUCAGGGAAGAAACGGCUCUUACUAAUAUUAGGAGCUAAUGACGGUACCUGAAGAAUAAGCACCGGCUAACUGCGUGCCAGCAGCCGCGGUAAUACGUAGGGUGCAAGCGUUAAUCGGAAUUACUGAGCGUAAAGCGUGCGCAGGCGGCUAUGCAAGACAGAUGUGAAAUCCCCGGGCUCAACCUGGGAACUGCAUUUGUGACUGCAUGGCUAGAGUACGGGACCCGCACAAGCGGUGGAUGAUGUGGUUUAAUUCGAUGCAACGCGAAAAACCUUACCCACCUUUGACAUGUACGGAAUUUGCCAGAGAUGGCUUAGUGCUCGAAAGAGAACCGUAACACAGGUGCUGCAUGGCUGUCGUCAGCUCGUGUCGUGAGAUGUUGGGUUAAGUCCCGCAACGAGCGCAACCCUUGUCAUUAGUUGCUACAUUUAGUUGGGCACUCUAAUGGGACUGCCGGUGACAAACCGGAGGAAGGUGGGGAUGACGUCAAGUCCUCAUGGCCCUUAUAGGUGGGGCUACACACGUCAUACAAUGGCCGGUACAAAGGGCUGCCAACCCGCGAGGGGGAGCUAAUCCCAUAAAACCGGUCGUAGUCCGGAUCGCAGUCUGCAACUCGACUGCGUGAAGUCGGAAUCGCUAGUAAUCGUGGAUCAGAAUGUCACGGUGAAUACGUUCCCGGGUCUUGUACACACCGCCCGUCACACCUUGGGAGCGGGUUCUGCCAGAGGUAGUUAGCCUAACCGCAAGGAGGGCGGAUUACCACGGCAAGGUUCGUGAGCUGGGGUGAGUU